rnacentral:lncRNA from 1 species
CGCGGAAGCAGCGCGCAUGCUCCGCUGCCUUUUAUGAAUGGGGGCUGGAGGGGAGCGCGGAUGCGGCUCCCGGGGUUUUUUUUUUUUUCCCUUUUUUUUUUUUGAAUGAAGGGCAGCGGCAGCUGCGCAUGCACCGCGCCCCCCGCCCGGGGCUGGAGGACCAUCAUUUUAUCCCUGUUUGGGAAUUUCCAUUACUGCUGGGGAAAGGGACUUCUCCUCCUGAGUGAAGAUUCUGGGACGUGACUUGAAGCAAGGCAAGAGAAGCAAAACCUUUGUGUGAACAUCACAGAACAGAAGAAAAAAGUGAUGUACAAAGCAAGAGAAAGAAAUCAGGCUGGUUUCAAACCCUUUGUAGUGCUGGGCUGAGGGGAGACUGCUUCUUCAUCCCACUGCUUUUCCAGACUGCACACUGUGUGUUCCUGCAGGAAUUCUCCUGCCCAGAUUUUUGUCACCUUGUGCAGAUUCUGCUGAGACUCUGGCAGCAGCAGGAUAUUGAAGGAUUUGAGCUGAGGUGUUUGAGCAGUCACAGCCCCCUGCUCUGACCCCUCAUUUCCAGCGCAGACACGGCUCCCUCAGCCCCACAUUUCCUCCAGGAAUCCCUGGCUGUGUGGCCCCUUUUCAGCAGAGAUUCCUGCAGCCCCAGCGUUUGAAGUGGCCGAAUCCCUGCAGGCCGGGGCCAGCAGCUCCGUCUGGCCAGGGCCCAUCGUCCCCUCGGCGCUGAUGUGGUGAG